rnacentral:rRNA from 1 species
UACGUAGGGUGCGAGCGUUGUCCGGAAUUACUGGGCGUAAAGAGCUCGUAGGUGGUUUGUCGCGUUGUUCGUGAAAACCGGGGGCUUAACUCUCGGCGUGCGGGCGAUACGGGCAGACUGGAGUACUGCAGGGGAGACUGGAAUUCCUGGUGUAGCGGUGGAAUGUGCAGAUAUCAGGAGGAACACCGGUGGCGAAGGCGGGUCUCUGGGCAGUAACUGACGCUGAGGAGCGAAAGCGUGGGGAGCGAACAGG